UGGGGGAUAUUGCACAAUGGGCGCAAGCCUGAUGCAGCGACGCCGCGUGGGGGAUGAAGGCCUUCGGGUUGUAAACUUCUUUUGCUCUGAACAAGGCGCACUUUGGGGUGUGUUGAGUGUAGGGGUUGAUUAGCGCCGGCUAACUACGUGCCAGCAGCCGCGGUAAUACGUAGGGCGCGAGCGUUGUCCGGAAUUAUUGGGCGUAAAGGGCUUGUAGGUGGCUGGUUGCGUCUGUCGUGAAAGCUCAUGGCUUAACUGUGGGUUUGCGGUGGGUACGAGCUGGCUUGAGUGCAGUAGGGGAGGGGGGAAUUCCUGGUGUGGCGGUGGAAUGCGCAGAGAUCAGGAGGAAUACCGGUGGCGAAGGCGGGUCUCUGGGCUGUGACUGACACUGAGGAGCGAAAGCAUGGGGAGCGAAGAGG
rnacentral:rRNA from 1 species